CUCAGAAUCAACGCUGGCGGCGUGCCUAACACAUGCAAGUCGAGCGAGAAAGUGGUAGCAAUACCAUGAGUAAAGCGGCGCACGGGUGAGUAACACGUGACUAACCUACCCUGGAGUGGGGAAUAACUGAGGGAAACCUUAGCUAAUACCGCAUAAUACCCACGGGUCAAAGGAGCAAUUCGCUCUGGGAGGGGGUCGCGGCCGAUUAGUUAGUUGGCGGGGUAAUGGCCCACCAAGACGAUGAUCGGUAUCCGGCCUGAGAGGGCGCACGGACACACUGGAACUGAAACACGGUCCAGACUCCUACGGGAGGCAGCAGUGGGGAAUUUUGCGCAAUGGGGGAAACCCUGACGCAGCAACGCCGCGUGGAGGAUGAAGUCCUUCGGGACGUAAACUCCUUUCGAUCGGGACGAUUAUGACGGUACCGGAAGAAGAAGCCCCGGCUAACUUCGUGCCAGCAGCCGCGGUAAUACGAGGGGGGCGAGCGUUGUUCGGAAUUAUUGGGCGUAAAGGGUGCGUAGGCGGUUUGGUAAGUCUUAUGUGAAAUCUAUGGGCUCAACUCAUAGACUGCAUGAGAAACUGCCGGGCUUGAGUGUGGGAGAGGUGAGUGGAAUUUCCGGUGUAGCGGUGAAAUGCGUAGAUAUCGGAAGGAACACCUGUGGCGAAAGCGGCUCACUGGACCACAACUGACGCUGAUGCACGAAAGCUAGGGGAGCAAACAGGAUUAGAUACCCUGGUAGUCCUAGCCCUAAACCAUGA
rnacentral:rRNA from 1 species